rnacentral:lncRNA from 1 species
GCAGGAUUUUUGUAGGUAAACUCAGAGGCUUAAUGGCCUGUGAUCUAUUCUUUUUAAUUUAUUUUUAAUUUCCCUUCACAGUAUCCUUUUGAUACUUGCAAGCCACGGUCCUAGUGCGUAUUGGGCAAUUUCCAGAAACUUGCUUCUAGCAGACUCAAAGAGCACUUCCCUUAGGGGUAAGAGCAAAACUGAACUCUUCUCUGGCUGCGGUGACUGAAAGCUGCUGUUCCCAAUGAUGGG